rnacentral:rRNA from 1 species
UACGAAGGGGGCAAGCGUUGUUCGGAAUUACUGGGCGUAAAGGGCGCGUAGGCGGCCGAUCAAGUCAGGCGUGAAAUUCCCGGGCUCAACCUGGGGGCUGCGCUUGAUACUGAUUGGCUUGAAUGCGGGAGAGGAUAGUGGAAUUCCCAGUGUAGAGGUGAAAUUCGUAGAUAUUGGGAAGAACACCAGUGGCGAAGGCGGCUAUCUGGCCCGUUAUUGACGCUGAGGCGCGAAAGCGUGGGGGAGCAAACAGGG